AAGGACUGAGCACCAGGUGCUCGUGCGGGGGCAGCGCAUCUGGGACGGCCAUGUGCCCCGUGGGGACGGGACUCCGCGCACUGGCCAUGUCACGUGACCCAGCUAUUCCUACGCGUUCGCCCCAGAGAAACUAAAGUUUGCAUUCACGGCAGCUUUAUUUAGAAUCCCCGAAACCUGGCACCGACCCCAACGCCCGUCAGCAGGCGAUACCUUAAAAACGCAAAAUUCUCACAACCAGCUUCUGCUUGACGGGACCGGUCAUUCUGAUUUGAGUGGAGGUCGCUGCGUCCUGCUCCAAAAAGAGGUCCGGGCAGCUGACAAGGACAUGCCGUGCAUUUGCCCUGAAGCCUCUGGGGGAGGAGGGCCCAUGAAAUACUUAGGAUGUAAGUGAAUCAAACGUCGAGGUGCUACACGGGCCGGGAAGAGCCCUCGCUUCCGUCUGGCCUGUGUGGUCGUCUGGGCCUUGGGAACAGAGCCACCGUCUUGCUUCUUCUGGACAUUCAUGAAGGAAUCUGGCAACGAGUACCCCGCGUGUGGUUCCUGUUGGCUGGGCUUCCUGGAGAUGCCUCCAGGGGUGAGGUUGUGGUUCCCCUCCCCCCCCCACCCCCGUCCUACCCUGGAAGUCCCCACCGUCCUCGCGCAACUGCCUCCACGCUGCCCCCUGCCGUCAGCACGUGUGAAAUGCACCCAGAUCUCAGGAGGCCGAGCUGUGAAAACCUCCACCGCAGAAUCCACGAAAUAGGGCCACAUCCUGAAGCACUGACGUCAUCUUUUGUCUCCCAAGUGGACAUCAAAGUUUGGUUUGAUUUCAGAACUACGUCAUAAUUUGUGGCUCUAUAUGGAGGGAAAAAAAUCCCAAUUGGGGGAAAAAGAGCACAUUCUGGAAGACAAAAGGGUGUGGUAUCAUGUUCCUCGAACCAGGCCGUGCCUGACGGCCAGGAGCACAUGGAACCUCGGGACAAGUGUGUCUGUUCUGCUCACAGACAUGCGAUCGUAAGCGAUAUUUUGACAUGGGACAGCACGCACUGCCACGUGGUUGCAUGGGGAUUCAGGGCACGGCAGCCCUCCCGCGGACCCCCGUGCUCCCGGCCCAUGGGCAUCGCCCAGAGGAUGAGGCAGGUCUGCGUGGGCACAGGAAGGUGUGGGGGAGCCCCGGGCUCGCUCUGGCUGCAGCCCCCAGAACUCGGGAGUUCCCCUCACGCAGGAAGAGGGCUAAUGCCAGGACUGGCCACCCGGGGCCCCCCGCCUCACCCAGUCCAGUCCUCCUGACGCAGCUGAAAAGGCGCCCCCUCCCCAGCCAGGGGUGCUUCGGUCCGGGCUCUGGGUGGUAUGCAUUCCCCGCUGGCUCCACCAAGAGCCAUCUCUUGGCUGUCCUGGGAUGCACCCUAAAAUUGGCCACCACGCCGGGGCACCAGGCAGCUAUGUGGGUGCACACGUAACGCCACAGAGAAUAGGUAUCACUGAGGGCUUCAGUCUCCGAGUCUGGGGCCCGCCACGAGGCUGUGGCUGGUGUUCAUGCCAUCCUGUCCCCAAGACCCAUUUCACGUCCCCCUUCCUUCCCCUCUGCCACUUAGGAGCCCUUGCAGAGGGAGUGGCCCAUACCGUACUCCAAGGGGUCAGAGGGGUACCCUUCCUACGCUGACUUGUGGUGGUCCCCACAGACCCCUGGGGGGUGGGAGGAUGCGCUUCAGGAGGUCCUCGACCCCACACUUAGGCUGCCUUGUCCCCCCGGGUGGCAGCACCCUAAUGGCUAGUCGGUCACCCCAAGGAGCACUUUAGCCCCUUCAGGGGCGUGCACACCCGAGGGUGCUCACAGGCCAUCUCAGCUUCCAGUUCUGGGGGGACCCGAUCGUGCCUCGUGGUGGAACCCUUGCUCCCUUGGUACCGAAACUCCCAUCCCCAGCAGGGCCCAGGCUCCCAGGGGCCGGAACAGCAUGGCCUUCAUGGGACGUCUGGUGUGGCCUUGAAGGUCACUGCAUCCCUCCCUGCCACACACCUGCUCCGUGUCCCCCAGGGCUCUGCCUAGCUGGCCCUGUACCAAGGGCUUGCUAAAGCAUUUUUACCAUGCGGUAAGCCCGCCGGAACCUGAGCACACAGGCAGAACUUACGCCGACUCCUGUCAACCCGAGCCCGCGAGCAGGAGCAGUGUGUGGAAGAGGCCGUGCCUCUUCCUCAAACCCCCAUGAACGGGCCCAGCUGCCCCAUCCGCAGGCCACCUGCUGGUCCAGGAUUGUAGCCAAACCACACACAUCCCAGCCGCUCCCUCGGUGGGCGGGGGGCUUGCCCACAACUGUCCCGUCCCCUCCGGCCAGAGCAAAGCUGCCUUCCCGGUCGGCAGGGCGCCCGGAGUGGAGACGCACCUCGCAAGCACUCCUGCUGCUCGGGCCUGUCCCUGGUCGCCGCCUCGUCCUGACUGCGGGGCGCUGAGCACAAGGCCUUGCCGGCCUGGAGGUUGUGACAGCGGCCAGCGGGGCACACGGUGCACUGGCCUCGCGUCCUUAGUCGGCCUCGGAUUCAGGACCUGGUGAUGCGUGAGCCGCUUGCAGGGGGGCCUGGCCUUGCUCCGAUCUUUGUUGUCCCCCAGCUUGGAGUCUCAGAAUCUCCUCUCUGAGCCCCGAACGGCAGAGACCCGUGUCCUCGGGGGACUCACAAGGGAGCCAUCGCUGUCAGAAACUUUGCACGUUAAACAUGUGCACAUCUUGAGGAAAGGACCUAAAAUCCCAGGAAGGGCCAGUGCCCGCGCCGGGUGGGGGCCGGGUCAGCAGCCCGAGGACCUAAAGCUCUGCCCGCGGCUGCCGAGGGGCACACGGAUGCACAGAAGCUUCCGCCCCGGUGUAAAAGAAAAUGACCGACGGGCGCCUCCACCCUGGGCCAGAGCUGAUGAGCAGAAGCCUCCGGAGACCACGUCUGUGAGGCGGCCAGAGGCACCGGCCUUGGCUCAGCGGCUGGCUCUCCACCGGCCUCGGAGUGGUUUUAUUUGUACGGUGCUGAGGACGCGCGGCUGAAUGGCCAGCCCCACGCCCCCACUGGCCUGGUUCUGGGUGUCCCGGCUGCAAAUGGCCUCGCCCCUUCCCCGGGGACCUGGGAGGGCACGAGCAGCCGAGGUCGCUCCUUCUCCAUGAAGCCUGAGCUCACCUGCGGGGGUUCGUUCUGCACGUGCCUGUUACCAGAUUGCGAACCUUCUGUCUCCAGUUUGUGGGCACUUUUUCUGCACCUGUUGGGCUGAUCCUAUGGUGUGUCUCCUUUGUGCCGUCAAGCACGUGGACUGAUUUUGAAUGUUAAAACAACCUUCCCCUCCUGGCCUGGUUUCUCUCAGUCACUGGGCUCAACCUGCUCGAAUUCAUUUAAGAUUUCGUGUGACGCUCACAGGGAGCACUGGCCGUGGGGUUUGGUACCACGGUUGGCCCCUGCAAGUCACUUGGGUGUGUCCCCUUGUUUGGUUUUUGCAGAGGCAAGAGCUAGAUCAUAUUCAUCUUCCCUGUGACCCCGCAGGGCCUGGAGUUCUCUCCGUGGGGAGGUGUCCGAUUACCGGCUCGAUCUCUGUAAGAGAUACAAGACAUUUCAGGGGUUUUGUGUCUGCUCGUGUCAAUUUUGGCAGGUCCCGUUUUUCAAGGAACUCGUCCGUUUCUUCCAGCAUGACACCGUUAGCGAGGUCCUGUCCACCCUUCUGAUGCCCCGGGGUCUGCAGAGAUGCCCCCUUUCCGCUCCUGAGAGCCAUAGUUGACUGGUGAAGGGUUCCCUUUUCACGUCUCGAUGUGCUGAUCAUUUGCCAGAACUAAGUUUCCGCUUGCUGACUUUCCUCUUCAUUACACGUCUAUGCUCUCACGCGUUUCUGUUCUGUCACCUCCUCCCUUCUGCUCUCCUUCAGUGUAAUCUGCCCUCUCUUCCCUGGCUCCCGGGGGCCGUCCCUUUGCUCCUCCCCACCCUGUCUGUCCGCUGGCCCCACUGCCUCUUCACUCGCACUGGUUUGGGGCUGCGACUGUGUUCUUAGCGUGGAGCGUGCAGGCGCCUGUUUAGACCCGGGGAGGGUAAACCCCGAGGCUGAUGGGAAGGAAGCCUGAAGCUGGAGGUGCCUCCCCGGCGGGUGAGGGACAGGGCGGCCCGGCUGCGAGCCGCUCCUCCAGGCCGGGGGCAGAUCCGAAGCUCGCUCAGAUGAGAGAGAGGCUCCAGCCCUUCCCAGACAGCGAUUAGCUGAGAACGUCGCACACCAAGAACAUCAAAUUUUGAAUAAGCUCAGAAGUGACUCAAAUCCAGUCUGACAGAGGCCAUCCCCUCAGACGUCCUAGAGCAAAAAUAAGAUGUAUGCCACAAGUCUUCAAAACGGCACGAAGCCUUGGGGGUGGGGUGCACUGUGGGGGUUCCGGGGAGUGGAGUCGUGGCUCUGCUCACGCAGCUGGGGGGCAGAGAGAAGGCGCUUUGUGCCUCGUUCACGUGGGCAGACUUCCCUGGGCGCCUCCUGGGUUCUGUCCGAGACCAUCUUCUCUGGGAGGUGGGGCAGUAGGAGGCCUGUUCUCGAGGACGCGAGACUGCCCGUCAGGGAGCUGCGAUGAGUAAAAAUAGCAGAGCUUCUGUUUCUGUAUUUAAUCUUCAACCAUGAGAAAGAAACUAGCCUUUACUAACGCUCAAUAUGCAGACUGGCGGUCCAAUGUGUCAGAGGGUCACACGUCCCAUGUGGCCCCAUCCGCCGAGGCGAGCGGAGGGUGACGGGCACCCGGGCCGGGUCCUCUCCUUCGACGUGACGAGCCACGGUUCACCUGGGGUCUGGUCAGGGAUUUGCGGCUCAUACGGUACAGCUCUGACUAAACUUAGUUCACGUGGUGGACAACUGUGUGGAGGACAGGAGAGGGAGGCGUGGAGAGACAAAAACUGGAAACUAUAAAAGACAGGGGACAAAGCAUAAAUGGUAGUUUUAACAAAUGUGUCCUCUGUGUCCCUGACGGGGGUAAAAUAAGAGCCAAAGAGAUAAUGGCUGAUCAUCUCCCAAAACUGACGAAAAAUACUGAAGUCUAGAUUCAAGAAGCACCCAAGCAGGAAAAU